AGUCAUAUGCUUGUCUCAAAGAUUAAGCCAUGCAUGUGUAAGUACAAGCCGAUUUAAGGCGAAACCGCGAAUGGCUCAUUAAAUCAGCUAUGUUUCAUUGGAUCUGUAAACCCACUUACUUGGAUAACUGUGGCAAUUCUAGAGCUAAUACAUGCAAUUGGUCUCUGACCGCAAGGGAAGAGCGCUUUUAUUAGUUCAAAACUGGUCGGGCCCCGGUCCGUAACCCACCUGUGGUGAAUCUGAAUAACUUCGGGCUGAGCGCACGGUCUCCGCACCGGCGCCGCUUCUUUCAAGUGUCUGCCUUAUCAGCUUUCGAUUGUAGGUUAUGCGCCUACAAUGGCUAUAACGGGUAACGGGGAAUCAGGGUUCGAUUCCGGAGAGGGAGCCUGAGAAACGGCUACCACAUCUAAGGAAGGCAGCAGGCACGCAAAUUACCCACUCCCGGCACGGGGAGGUAGUGACGAAAAAUAACGAUGUGAGUCUCAUCCGAGGCCUCGCAAUCGGAAUGAGUACACUUUAAAUCCUUUAACGAGUAUCCAUUGGAGGGCAAGUCUGGUGCCAGCAGCCGCGGUAAUUCCAGCUCCAAUAGCGUAUAUUAAAGUUGUUGCGGUUAAAAAGCUCGUAGUUGGAUCUCAGUUCCGGACUGACGGUGCACCGCCCGGUGUUUACUGUCACGCUCCGAACAGCCGCCCCGCCGGCUCGCACGGGAUGCUCUUUGUCGAGUGUCCCGAGUGGCCGGAGAGUUUACUUUGAG
rnacentral:rRNA from 1 species